rnacentral:rRNA from 1 species
GUAGUCCAUGCCGUAAACGGUGGGCGCUAGGUGUGAGGGUCUUUUCACGACUUUCGUGCCGUAGCUAACGCAUUAAGCGCCCCGCCUGGGGAGUACGGCCGCAAGGCUAAAACUCAAAGGAAUUGACGGGGGCCCGCACAAGCGGCGGAGCAUGUGGAUUAAUUCGAUGCAACGCGAAGAACCUUACCUGGGCUUGACAUACACCGGAUCGGGCUAGAGAUAGUCUUUCCCUUUGUGGCUGGUGUACAGGUGGUGCAUGGUUGUCGUCAGCUCGUGUCGUGAGAUGUUGGGUUAAGUCCCGCAACGAGCGCAACCCUUGUCUUAUGUUGCCAGCAUUUGGUUGGGGACUC